GGUGUACAGGCUUCAUUGGGUUUGUGACAGCUACAUCAAGGUACUGGCCCACAACACACAGGGCUUACUGGACAGAAUGCAGACGAGAGCCCAACAGUCUCUGCUUGCAAUUGCAUUGGAGCUGACUUCCACAAGAUGGAAUUUCCAUUCUCGGGUUUCCAUUUGAGAUUUACCUUCAUAGCAGAGACAAGCAAAUAUAUUCUCCUUUUGUGCCAACAGCAUAAAUCUACAGAAAAUUAAAUUCUUGGGAAGAAUAACACUGACCUUCAAUAACUCUGCUAACCAAAUUCUUGAGCUGUGGUGGGAGUCAUCUGUGGUAACUCGGUCUGAAUAAUG
rnacentral:lncRNA from 1 species